rnacentral:rRNA from 1 species
AGAGUUUGAUCCUGGCUCAGAGCGAACGCUGGCGGCAGGCUUAACACAUGCAAGUCGAACGGGCGUAGCAAUACGUCAGUGGCAGACGGGUGAGUAACGCGUGGGAACGUACCUUUUGGUUCGGAACAACUGAGGGAAACUUCAGCUAAUACCGAAUAAGCCCUUACGGGGAAAGAUUUAUCGCCGAAAGAUCGGCCCGCGUCUGAUUAGCUUGUUGGUGAGGUAACGGCUCACCAAGGCGACGAUCAGUAGCUGGUCUGAGAGGAUGAUCAGCCACAUUGGGACUGAGACACGGCCCAAACUCCUACGGGAGGCAGCAGUGGGGAAUAUUGGACAAUGGGCGAAAGCCUGAUCCAGCCAUGCCGCGUGAGUGAUGAAGGCCCUAGGGUUGUAAAGCUCUUUU